rnacentral:lncRNA from 1 species
CUCAUUUGGAAAUAGAUGGCAUACAACUGAGAACUUUAUUUAAAACUUGCUGUAGCUUUAGCGUAGUUGUUUUGAGGUGCGUGUUUGAAAUUCUCGAUUGUAGCUCUAGACUCUACUUCACAAUGGUGGAUGAGACAGAAGAUAUUGAUGUCUUCCAGGACCGCACAGAAACCAGAUCUUGCACUAGGGAGGAAGUGUCCAAGAUUAUCGGCUGGCAGUUGUGUUCUGAAAUGUUGUAUCCUGACUCAGCCAGUGGUUUGCCUUUCCCCUUUACUGGACCUCUGAGAGUGUCUGUCACAUUAACUAAGCAAGACAGAGGCCUGCAGCAAUACCUUGUGGAAGCAGCAUAUAGCUAUAUUCCUCGGGUAAUUCCUCAUUAUGUCAUGCUUUACUUUGGCUUUGGUAAAUUUUUUUAGUUUACUUAUACUGAUGAAAGAAUGGUACAUCUCAGUACUGUAUAUUCAACUUAGCUAAUUUUCAGGGUCUGCAUUGUUGUUAUUGUUCCCAUUCCUAUUAAAGUGGGAAAAGAUAUAGAAAAAAGUUACAGAUGCCAAUAGUGGGUAAAUAUUAUUAUCCAUAUACAGGAAUAUUAAGACAUUUGCAUGGAUAAAACUGAUAGAGCUGGAAAUAGAGCCCCACCUCACUUUGACUUGUUUCUAUUUGUUACAACAAAAAACAUCAAUUCACAUUAACCGCUUUAACAAUUAGAAUGAAAUAACUAACUAAGUUCAAUUAGAAGGAGUGGGUCUUUUUUACCUUCUGCAAGAGACAGCAAGGAUUUAGGGCUUUUUCUAAAAUGAUGCACUCGGUGUCUGGGGACAGUUUCUGGAGCUCCUCCUUUACUCUUUCAAGAUUAUCUUUGAUAUCUUUUGAGUUGAAACAGAUUGUGGGAAACUGCAAAGAGAAAGAAGGGGUAAAGCCCCAAGCCAACCUUUCAGUCCUGAAAUAACCUCAUUGUUUUGAACAGAAUCAAAUCCAAGAUUCACAUACUCCUGUCCAACAGGUG